GAUGAACGCUGGCUACAGGCUUAACACAUGCAAGUCGAGGGGAAACGCCUGGGAAGCUUGCUUCCCCGGGCUUCGACCGGCGCACGGGUGAGUAACUCGUAUCCAACCUGCCUCUGACUGAUUGAUAACCCGUCGAAAGUCGGCCUAAUACCUCAUGGCAUCGUCUGCGGGCAUCCAACGACGAUUAAAGAUUUCAUCGGUCAGAGAUGGGGAUGCGUCUGAUUAGCUUGUUGGCGGGGUAACGGCCCACCAAGGCGACGAUCAGUAGGGGUUCUGAGAGGAAGGUACCCCACAUGGGAACUGAGACACGGACCAAACGCCUACGGGAGGAAGCAGUGAGGAAUAGUAGGCAAUGGGCGAGAGCAUGAACCAGCCAAGUAGAGUGCAGGAUGACGGCGCUAUGGGUUGUAAACUGCUGUUAGGCGGGGAUAAAGUGAGGGACGGGGACUUUAUUGAAGGUACCGGAUGAAUAAGGACCGGCUAAUUCCGUG
rnacentral:rRNA from 1 species